GUAAUCCAAAAUAGUUUUUAAUUCAAACUCGAUCACUAAAAUCAAUGUAUAAUAGGAAAAGGAUUAGUGUAUUAUAAAUACAUCCGUUUGUUUUCUAUUUUUCAUCACUUACUCAAUCUAUCAAAUUCUCAUCAUAGUAUUGCCGAGAAUCACCAUGGCGCUUAGGAACAUCAUCUUCUUUACAAUCUUCUUGAUUGCUUCCUUAAUUUCUCUGCUAACUCCGUUCACAGCAUCUCAAAAUGUUAAUGUCUUAGCUAUCUUUGCCUUUGGGGAUUCAACCAUUGCUCCAGGUAACAACAACCACAUCCAAACGUUAUUUCGUAGUGACCACCCACCUUAUGGCAUAGACUUCCCCAGCCAAGUCCCCGCUAGAAGGUUUUGCGAUGGAAAAUUAGUUAAGAGACUUUUUGAUUCUUCCUUGGGCAUCAAGGAACUCUGGUCGGCUUACUUGGACGAUUCAGUGAUUGACACCGACUUACUUUUAGGCGUUAGCUUUGCAUGGGCCGGUUUAGGUUGGGACCCGCAACCAGUAGUUAUAACAUAAGCUUUGGAUCUUCCAACUCAGUUGAAUAACUUUUACAAAACAUUACAAAGUAUGGAGGGUGUUGUUGGACAAGAAGAGGUUCGCAAGAUUGUUGAAAACGCUUUGUUUUUAAUCAGUAUUGGAAGCAAUGAUAUGUUGUUCAACUAUUACGAUAUACCUACGAGGGCACUUGACUACUCACUUCCAGGUUACCACCAAAUGCAGCUCCAAACCAUGUAUGGUUUUAUUGAGAAUCUUUAUAAAACAGGAGCACGGAGGAUUGCAGUGGCUAGUCUUCCGCCAAUUGGCUGCAUACCUGCCCAAGUGACAAUAGGCAGCGUCCUACCAAUUAGCACAAACUUUCUCUAACGUUCAUGUGUCGACAAUCAGAACAUGGACUCUCAUGCUCAUAAUCAACAACUAGAAGCCCUUACCUCAAGUUGACUCCAAGAUUCCAAGAUCGUAUAUGCCGAUAUUUACAGUCCCAUCAUGGACAUAAUACAGAACCCAAAUAACUAUGGUUUCGAUGUGACACUUGAAGCAUGAUGUGGGACAGGGCUUGCGGAGGCAGGUCCAUUAUGCAAUCAACUUGCCCCAACAUGCCCAGAUGCAUCUGAAUAUAUUUUCUUUGAUUCAGUACACCUUACAGAAGCAGCAUAUCGGGCAAUUGCCGAUGUAACCAGAAAGAAUUUGUUUCAGCGACGAGCGGUAGGGCCAUAGUCUAAAGAAUUGGGGAGUGAUUUGAACUCAAUUUAAUUAUUAUUAUCGAAU